AUUCCAGCUCCAAUAGCGUAUAUUAAAGUUGUUGCAGUUAAAAAGCUCGUAGUUGAAUAUCUGAUAGAAUGCGAACGCCUUCUAGGUGUUUGCAGACUGUCUCUGUAGGUGAAAUUUGCUUGGCAUUAGGUUGUCAUUCAAAGGACGUCUACCCUUUACUGUGAAAAAAUCAGUGCGUUCAAAGCAGGCUUACGCCGUUGAAUGUAUUAGCAUGGAAUAAUAAGAUAGGACUUUUUGACUAUUUUGUUGGUUUGUGUUAAAAGGUAAUGAUUAACAGGAACGGCCGGGGGUAUAGGUAUUCCAGAGUCAGAGGUGAAAUUCUUGGAUUUUUGGAAGACUAACUACUGCGAAAGCAUUUACCAAGAAUGUUUUC
rnacentral:rRNA from 1 species